rnacentral:ncRNA from 1 species
UCGAUAGAGGCGCGAAAAAUAUUAGUAACGCUGGCUUUUGUACUCAUUUACUUUGGGCUGCGCAAAAGGAUUUUUCGCCGAAAUAAAAUAUACAAUGAGGUAUAUUUUGUUGGGCAUACGGAGAAUAUCCGUGUGACUGUCACAUGUUUUUAUGUGGAGGGCUGUCGG